AUACGGAGGAUGCGAGCGUUAUCCGGAUUUAUUGGGUUUAAAGGGUGCGUAGGCUGUGCGUUAAGUCAGGGGUGAAAUGCCGUCGCUCAACGACGGAGCUGCCCUUGAUACUGGCGUGCUGGAGUACGGAUGCCGUUGGAGGAAUGAGUGGUGUAGCGGUGAAAUGCUUAGAUAUCACUCAGAACACCGAGUGCGAAGGCAUGUGAGGAAUCGGGCACGGAAGCUGAGGCACGAGAGCGGGGGGAUAGAACAGGGUUAGAGACCCUGGUAUUCCACGCCGUAAACGAUGAUGACUAACCGUCGGCGAUAGACAGCCGGUGGCCAAGCGAAAGAGAUAAGUCAUCCACCUGGGGAGUACGUCGGCAACGAUGAAACUUAAAGGAAUUGACGGGG
rnacentral:rRNA from 1 species